GGCUGGUCUGAGUGCAGUGGUGUUUGCAACUAAUUGAUCACAUCCAGUUACAGAUUUCUUUCUUUCUUUUUUUUUUUCUUUUCUUCUCCACUCACACUGCUUCACUUGACCAACCUUUA
ensembl:Y_RNA Y_RNA Y RNA